UCCCCAGAGAACUCACUCUGAGUGGGCCUGAAUGAGUCAGACACACUGGGAAGUCACCCACACCUCCAGUCAGGUGACAGAGCUCAAUGUAUAAUCCACGUUAGAGUCUUUCCUUGGAUUGCUUAUUGUGGCCGUUGGGGCCAAAAUUGUAAGGCUUUUAGAGUGUGCCUAAUCUUAGAAAAUGCAUCAUCCUGUUUUCCUUUCUGAUAAUUACCAUCUUUGCUUCCAUUACUUCCAGCUAACGAUCACCUCUCCAGGCCAACUUUGCCAGGAAACCCAGCCACUGGUAGGAGUGGCCCCUCAGGAUCCACCAGCACAGCCCUCACAGACCCCAGAGCCCAGCUGCGGGCCUAUAUAGACAGCCACCCUGUGGUCAUCUUCAGCAAGUCCACGUGCAGACGCUGUACUGAGGUAAAGAAGUUAUUUAAAUCAAUGUGUGUUCCUUAUUUUUUGCUCGAACUUGACCAGGCAGGCGAGGAAACUGAGUCCCAGACAAGUCAAAUAACUUCCCUAAAGUCAUACAA